AAAUUGAAGAGUUUGAUCAUGGCUCAGAUUGAACGCUGGCGGCAGGCCUAACACAUGCAAGUCGAGCGGAAACGACACUAACAAUCCUUCGGGUGCGUUAAUGGGCGUCGAGCGGCGGACGGGUGAGUAAUGCCUAGGAAAUUGCCUUGAUGUGGGGGAUAACCAUUGGAAACGAUGGCUAAUACCGCAUAAUGCCUACGGGCCAAAGAGGGGGACCUUCGGGCCUCUCGCGUCAAGAUAUGC
rnacentral:rRNA from 2 species